GCCUUUGUGGUGUAAUGGUCAGCACGCUCGAGUCGUAUUCGAGACGUCCGUGGUUCGAUUUCCGGCGAGGACA
rnacentral:tRNA from 1 species